UAGCGAUAGCAUACUUCGUUGCUGUACUGUGCGAGAUUUGGUUUAUCGGAAACCAUAAUGUCAGCCCAGAGCUAUCUAUGAUCAAUAAGGUGGUGGCAUUUGUUAUUAGUUACAACAUCAUAUUUAUCCUUGCUAUACGGCUUAUAUACGUGCCAGACUCGGAAUAUCAGAUUUCAACACAAGACCAAGGAUCAACAACAUUCUUGGUUGGAUUCAGUUUCUUCUUACCUUAACUUAGAUAGUACUGUACCGCUUCUAAACUGUUUAAUAACCUGAAGGUGAAAUGUGGGGUAAGAGGAAGGACCAGGCUGUAACGCAGGUGGAAUGCUGACCGUAUGUUACUAAUGAUACAUCAUCUGUACAAGAAACCAGUAUCAUCUGUUUAAUAAUAUGCACGGACCAAGGUUCGUAAUCUUGAAUCAUAUGUUUUCUCUUUCUUCAGUAUUUGUUAUGUGUUCGUUUUCAUUUGAUCUCUUUUAUCUAAAUUUUAUGGAUCAAAUAUGUAACGCCAAUCUUCUUCCCAGCCAUCUGCUUGAUUAAUUUCAUGCUGCGACGACCAUUCAUAAACAUUGAAUUAGACAGUGUGAUCGACGCAAACUAUUUAGCAGCAACAACUGACCAAUAAUGCUUAUAAACCAUACAUAGAGUGAAGAAAUGAGAUAUUACAAAGUCAUAAACAAACAAAAUAUGUGUAAACAGAAAAAUGAAUAGGAAGAAAUCACGUAGACAAAUAAGAUAAGACUUCUAAAAGAUGAAUUCAUUGCAAAACUAUACAUGUUUAUAAACCAUUUAUUAAACCUAAGCAUGCAAUCUUUGAAGGAGACUUUUUUAUACUGAGAAAUUGACGAUAGAUUGAAAAUCUGUUGCAAAUUUAACCUACAGAAAAUACAUAACUGUUAAAACAAAUCUAUAAGUUAGAGAUUUGGAUUUACUUUCAGAUGUUGCUGCACAAUUAAGAGUAGUUUACGUUGCGCUCAUGUCACAUGAACAAGAAACCCAUUGCACCGUCUCCUUAGUGAUCAAAUAUCCUAGACCAUGUAUUCAUGAUACUGCAUUUGAUCAUCCUCCAGAACGCACAUGAAGAAGCGGAAGGGGCAGCAGUGGCAGCAAAGGCAGAAGGGACAGCAGGGUCGACCUCUAAACGCACAAGAAUAAAAACACCAAAACGCACAAGAAAAAAAAACAGUAGCAUGUAUGUUCUUGUGAGUUUUGCUGCUUCUCCUUGUGCGUUUAGGGGUGGACGCUUCUGCCGUUGCAGCCGCUUUAAUAACCUUAACCCGUAAAGAAUUGAUCUUUCUGUAUAGUGGAGAUGUCUAAAAGCAUUCGUCCCAAUGCAUAUAGAAUACCUGAACAAUUUAUAAUCAAAGAACCAAAUAUGACGAAACAGACCCUUAAUGGUGGUCUUACCAAUAAGUCAAAUUUCAAACUUGCAUUCAUGGUAAGAAUAAUUCGGUGUGGCCAAAUUUAACUCAAUAUCUUUUUUUUUCUUUCUCUAUUUAUUGGUAUGAUCCAUAAUCAUAUGAUUUGUUUCCAGAUAUAUGCAUGAAGAAAAAUAUACUGAAAAGAGUAAGAGAUCUACACCGAGAUGCACCACGUAUCAGCCAAAUAUGUGUGUUUAUUUAUUGUGAAUGUUUUCAUGAGGUUUCUGUGGAAAGUAUAUUUUCUCAUGAAAUUCCAAUAUUCAUUCAUUUUUAUGAGGUUUCUACGGAAAGUAUAUUAUUGUUGCUUAAUUGUAUUUUUAAAUUUAAUAGUUUUUAUUUUCAAUAACUAUUUUCACUCAUUA